AUGUUCCAGUUGAUCGCAUGGUCUUCUGGGAAAGCUUUCGCGGUAUGGGAUGGGGUCGCGUCCUAUCAGCUUGACGGCGGGGUAACGGCCCACCGUGGCUUCGACGGGUAGCCGGCCUGAGAGGGCGACCGGCCACAUUGGGACUGAGAUACGGCCCAGACUCCUACGGGAGGCAGCAGUGGGGAAUAUUGCACAAUGGGCGCAAGCCUGAUGCAGCGACGCCGCGUGAGGGAUGGAGGCCUUCGGGUUGUAAACCUCUUUUAUCGGGGAGCAAGCGUGAGUGAGUUUACCCGUUGAAUAAGCACCGGCUAACUACGUGCCAGCAGCCGCGGUAAUACGUAGGGUGCAAGCGUUAUCCGGAAUUAUUGGGCGUAAAGGGCUCGUAGGCGGUUCGUCGCGUCCGGUGUGAAAGUCCAUCGCUUAACGGUGGAUCCGCGCCGGGUACGGGCGGGCUUGAGUGCGGUAGGGGAGACUGGAAUUCCCGGUGUAACGGUGGAAUGUGUAGAUAUCGGGAAGAACACCAAUGGCGAAGGCAGGUCUCUGGGCCGUUACUGACGCUGAGGAGCGAAAGCGUGGGGAGCGAACAGGAUUAGAUACCCUGGUAGUCCACGCCGUAAACGGUGGAUGCUGGAUGUGGGGCCCGUUCCACGGGUUCCGUGUCGGAGCUAACGCGUUAAGCAUCCCGCCUGGGGAGUACGGCCGCAAGGCUAAAACUCAAAGAAAUUG
rnacentral:rRNA from 1 species